CGAUGGGACUGGAGAUGCUUUCACGUCAAGAAAGGUCGGACCUCCCACCACCUGCUGAGGAAGGGCAUGACCUCUCGGUCGCGUCCCUUCUACGCGCCGAAUGCCCUCUUUGCCCGCCGCUCCUGCGGCCAGGGGGCCCGUGGGACGCCGUUCCGGGAGGCCCGGGGAGGGGUUUCGCGGCCCUGCUCGUGCCCUGUGCGCGGAGGGCGCGCCCGGCCAGCGUCGGGGACACACGAGGCUGUGGGCGCCCAGGGCCGCCCGCCUCCUUAGUGGCGUCGUUAGCGCGCUGAGCCAGCCAGCGCUGACCACCCUGCAGGCGUAUUUGUGUGCGAGAGAGAAUGCGUUUGUCGUUGGGUGGCCUCGUACGGCUGAAAGCAUUGCUGACCCAGAUUUCGGCAACAAUUUCGCUCCAAUAGGUUGAGAAAAAUCUUCGUCUCCUCCCAUUAAUAUGAAACAGUAAAUAUGUAAAAAUUCCUGGAAUAAAUACAAAAGGUCCCCGACAGUGUCCAGGCAAGCCGCAGAUGGCGUGAAGCUGCAGCCAUUACCAGUUGUCCUUCUUUGCAGGGAUUGUCGCCUUCCGAGCUUUGCCUGCGCUCCGUGACGUUUCAGACUGACUUUGACGGGGCGGCCCCGGCUUCACCGCCGUUCUUCAGAGGCAGGUUAAACCCACUGCAAACUAACAAUGUAAAACGAGAGUUUACUGACGUGCAAACCCGAAAGGCCCAAGAGUUGCAUGUGGCUCCAGGCAAAGCUGGAUUCCAGGGGCUCAAGAUGUCAGGUCAGUCUGUCUGUCUGUCCCCAUCCACCAUCCCCAGUCCUCCCCCGCCCUCCCGGGCUUUCUCGAAGGUGAAGGUGAAGAACCAGGUGACCGCUCUCUUCUCCUUUUCACCCCCACUGCUGGCCACCGCUGACUCCCCGGUGGAGAGAGCCCCUCACUGUGACGUCCUGUGACAGUUCCCCAGGUGGUUAACGGAUGUUUUCCAGCCGUGAUUUAGCUGAAUGUUUGAAAAGCUACUUGGGAGACCCAUGAGUCGGCAGGUGGACAUCCCAGAACUGCUGGGCAACACAACGUCCGUGACAACGGGGCCGAAGAUGUGCCUGGGAGGUCCCCACGCACUGCUGUCCAGUUCUUCUCAGACUGAUGGGCAGUGGGAGUGGCCAGUUCCUACAGGGACGCUCUCCACACAACUCUACUCCAGGCGCUCACAGACUGGCUGAACCACGACACAAUCACCCACGAUCUAUCCCGACAAGGGAUAAUUACAGCAGUUAAUAACGCUGAUCUAAUCUGUUCUUAAGCAAGUGUGGGUGUAUUAUCUGUGCUUGUGAGUGUAUGUGCAUACUUUGUACCCACAAGGAAGGCCUUCUUUUCCAGUGCCUGUGGAAGAGUCCUAAAAAUGGAUCCUAUGUCAGGCCAUUGUAUCAGAUAUACUGGACAUUGCAUUUCUCCCCAUAUAAUCUUUUUUUUUUUUUUUUUUUUUUGGUGAGUAAGACUGGCCCUGAACUAACAUCUGUUGCCAAUCUCCCUCUAUUUGCUUGAGGAAGAUUGUUGCUGAGCUGACAUCUGUGCCAAUCUUCCUCUAUUUUUUGUGAGAUGCUUCCACAACUUGGCUUGAUGAGUGGUGCUAGGUCUGCACCUGGGAUCCAAACCUGUGAACCCUGGGCUGCGAAAGUGGAGGGCACAAACCUUAACUACUACACCACUGGGCCAGCCCCCCAUAUAAUCUUUUUAAGGGCCCCUGACUCUGUUCCUAGCCCAGCUGGAGGAGUGAGCAAGUAACCAUCCCUUAUGGCCACCCAGGUGACUGGACCAGGAGUGAACACCUGACCCAAGCUAGAGCAAUCAGAUCCUUUUGGAGAUUUGGAUUUUAUGACACAAAGACUGUGGCAAACCCCGGAGUUAUAUAAAAUUGGGGCUAGUGGUCACGUUAAGCCAUGUUCAAGCAAAGGAAAGGAAGCUGUCUAGAGAGUAGGUAUGGGAGUAGAUGAGAAGAGAGAGGUACAGUAAGAGAUUCACAACCCCAGAGUCGCUUCCUGGUACUUUCUUUUUCCUUUGAAGUCCAGCCAUUGUUCUUCACUUCAUUUCUGGGAGAGUCCCCCUUUUUACUUGACUUAAUGGGAGUGGAUUUCUCAAUAAAUAUUUUAGAAACAG
ensembl:lncRNA